UACGUAGGGUGCGAGCGUUAAUCGGAAUCACUGGGCGUAAAGGGCGUGUAGGCGGCAUCACAAGUCUGGUUUUAAAGCCUGCGGCUCAACCGCAGAGAUGGACUGGAGACUGUGAAGCUAGACCUCUGGAGAGAGAACUGGAAUUCCUGGUGUAGCGGUGGAAUGCGUAGAUAUCAUGAGGAAUACCAGAGGCGAAGGCGGCUACCUGGACAAUUGCUGACGCUCAGGCACGAAAGCGUGGGGAGCAAAAGGG
rnacentral:rRNA from 1 species